rfam:Dipodomys ordii contig_51941, whole genome shotgun sequence.
ACAGAGGUUUUUUUUAAAACCAAAAUUACAUCAGAACACACAAACU